AUGCACCUCGGGUAUCUCAUCCUCGCUGCCUUCCUGAGCCAACCACUGGGCACCAUGGGGCAGACCACCAUCACCCAGCAAGAAGGACAAGUCACAGUAGAGGAGAAAGACACCUUCCAGACCACCUGCACCUACCAAAGCUCCAGGCCUAAUGCCCUGCUUUGGUACCAGCAGAGGAAAGGCCAAGCUCCCCAGCUGCUCUCGUCUCAGGCAGCAGCUGGCCACAAGCCGAGCGGCCGUCUCACCACAUCGCUGAACACCACAGGGAAAUACAGCCUCCUGCAGCUGGAGGAAGUCGAGGUCUCUGACAGUGCCUUGUACCUCUGUGCUGUGCAAGACACCCUGGUAUUCCUGCAGGCCUGUCUCUUAGAGCACCUGCUCUGGGAUGUGUCCCUCCGAGGUCAGAGUUCAAAGUAA